rnacentral:rRNA from 1 species
GAAAGCCUGAUGCAGCAACGCCGCGUGAGUGAUGAAGGCUUUCGAGUCGUAAAGCUCUUUGAUCAGGGAUGAUAAUGACAGUACCUGAAAAACAAGCCACGGCUAACUACGUGCCAGCAGCCGCGGUAAUACGUAGGUGGCGAGCGUUGUCCGGAAUUACUGGGCGUAAAGGAUGSGUAGGUGGAUAUUUAAGUGGGAUGUGAAAUCCCCGGGCUCAACCCGGGAACUGCAUUCCAAACUGGAUAUCUAGAGUGCAGGAGAGGAAAGCGGAAUUCCUAGUGUAGCGGUGAAAUGCGUAGAUAUUAGGAGGAACACCAGUGGCGAAGGCGGCUUUCUGGACUGUAACUGACACUGAGGCAUGAAAGCGUGGGUAGCAAACAGGAUUAGAUACCCUGGUAGUCC